rnacentral:rRNA from 1 species
GAUUCGUCACACUAUCAUUAACUGAAUCCAUAGGUUAAUGAGGCGAACCGGGGGAACUGAAACAUCUAAGUACCCCGAGGAAAAGAAAUCAACCGAGAUUCCCCCAGUAGCGGCGAGCGAACGGGGAGGAGCCCAGAGCCUGAAUCAGCAUGUGUGUUAGUGGAAGCGUCUGGAAAGGCGCGCGAUACAGGGUGACAGCCCCGUACACAAAAGCGCAUGUGCUGUGAGCUCGAUGAGUAGGGCGGGACACGUGGUAUCCUGUCUGAAUAUGGGGGGACCAUCCUCCAAGGCUAAAUACUCCUGACUGACCGAUAGUGAACCAGUACCGUGAGGGAAAGGCGAAAAGAACCCCGGCGAGGGGAGUGAAAAAGAACCUGAAACCGUGUACGUACAAGCAGUGGGAGCACAGGUUUACCUGUGUGACUGCGUACCUUUUGUAUAAUGGGUCAGCGACUUAUAUUCUGUAGCAAGGUUAACCGUAUAGGGGAGCCGGAGGGAAACCGAGUCUUAAUUGGGCGUUAAGUUGCAGGGUAUAGACCCGAAACCCGGUGAUCUAGCCAUGGGCAGGUUGAAGGUUGGGUAACACUAACUGGAGGACCGAACCGACUAAUGUUGAAAAAUUAGCGGAUGACCUGUGGCUGGGGGUGAAAGGCCAAUCAAACCGGGAGAUAGCUGGUUCUCCCCGAAAGCUAUUUAGGUAGCGCCUCGUGAAUUCAUCUCCGGGGGUAGAGCACUGUUUCGGCUAGGGGGCCAUCCCGGCUUACCAACCCGAUGCAAACUGCGAAUACCGGAGAAUGUUAUCACGGGAGACACACGGCGGGUGCUAACGUCCGUCGUGAAGAGGGAAACAACCCAGACCGCCAGCUAAGGUCCCAAAGUCAUGGUUAAGUGGGAAACGAUGUGGGAAGGCCCAGACAGCCAGGAUGUUGGCUUAGAAGCAGCCAUCAUUUAAAGAAAGCGUAAUAGCUCACUGGUCGAGUCGGCCUGCGCGGAAGAUGUAACGGGGCUAAACCAUGCACCGAAGCUGCGGCAGCGAACGUAUCACCCAAGACAACUUUACGGAGUUGACGAUUGACGGAGCGAAGCGACGUCAAAGCGUUCAUUAAAGUCGAGUUGGCUUAGGGAUACGUUCGUUGGGUAGGGGAGCGUUCUGUAAGCCUGUGAAGGUGUGUCGUGAGGCAUGCUGGAGGUAUCAGAAGUGCGAAUGCUGACAUAAGUAACGAUAAAGCGGGUGAAAAGCCCGCUCGCCGGAAGACCAAGGGUUCCUGUCCAACGUUAAUCGGGGCAGGGUGAGUCGACCCCUAAGGCGAGGCCGAAAGGCGUAGUCGAUGGGAAACGGGUUAAUAUUCCCGUACUUGGUGUUACUGCGAAGGGGGGACGGAGAAGGCUAUGUUGGCCGGGCGACGGUUGUCCCGGUUUAAGCGUGUAGGUGUGUGUUCCAGGUAAAUCCGGUUCACUUUAACACUGAGGCGUGACGACGAGGCACUACGGUGCUGAAGCAACAAAUGCCCUGCUUCCAGGAAAAGCCUCUAAGCAUCAGGUAACAUCAAAUCGUACCCCAAACCGACACAGGUGGUCAGGUAGAGAAUACCAAGGCGCUUGAGAGAACUCGGGUGAAGGAACUAGGCAAAAUGGUGCCGUAACUUCGGGAGAAGGCACGCUGACACGUAGGUGAAGUGAUUUACUCAUGGAGCUGAAGUCAGUCGAAGAUACCAGCUGGCUGCAACUGUUUAUUAAAAACACAGCACUGUGCAAACACGAAAGUGGACGUAUACGGUGUGACGCCUGCCCGGUGCCGGAAGGUUAAUUGAUGGGGUCAGCGCAAGCGAAGCUCCUGAUCGAAGCCCCGGUAAACGGCGGCCGUAACUAUAACGGUCCUAAGGUAGCGAAAUUCCUUGUCGGGUAAGUUCCGACCUGCACGAAUGGCGUAAUGAUGGCCAGGCUGUCUCCACCCGAGACUCAGUGAAAUUGAACUCGCUGUGAAGAUGCAGUGUACCCGCGGCAAGACGGAAAGACCCCGUGAACCUUUACUAUAGCUUGACACUGAACAUUGAGCCUUGAUGUGUAGGAUAGGUGGGAGGCUUUGAAGUGUGGACGCCAGUCUGCAUGGAGCCGACCUUGAAAUACCACCCUUUAAUGUUUGAUGUUCUAACGUGGACCCGUAAUCCGGGUUGCGGACAGUGUCUGGUGGGUAGUUUGACUGGGGCGGUCUCCUCCUAAAGAGUAACGGAGGAGCACGAAGGUUGGCUAAUCCUGGUCGGACAUCAGGAGGUUAGUGCAAUGGCAUAAGCCAGCUUGACUGCGAGCGUGACGGCGCGAGCAGGUGCGAAAGCAGGUCAUAGUGAUCCGGUGGUUCUGAAUGGAAGGGCCAUCGCUCAACGGAUAAAAGGUACUCCGGGGAUAACAGGCUGAUACCGCCCAAGAGUUCAUAUCGACGGCGGUGUUUGGCACCUCGAUGUCGGCUCAUCACAUCCUGGGGCUGAAGUAGGUCCCAAGGGUAUGGCUGUUCGCCAUUUAAAGUGGUACGCGAGCUGGGUUUAGAACGUCGUGAGACAGUUCGGUCCCUAUCUGCCGUGGGCGCUGGAGAACUGAGGGGGGCUGCUCCUAGUACGAGAGGACCGGAGUGGACGCAUCACUGGUGUUCGGGUUGUCAUGCCAAUGGCACUGCCCGGUAGCUAAAUGCGGAAGAGAUAAGUGCUGAAAGCAUCUAAGCACGAAACUUGCCCCGAGAUGAGUUCUCCCUGAGACUUAGAGUCUCCUGAAGGAACGUUGAA